GAGAGCAAAAAAGCAGAAGCACAGGCACUUCCUGAACUGAAAGUUUAAGACAAACUCUCAGAAAGAGAGAGAGAGAUAGAAAGAGAGACAAAGAGAGAGCAAGGGGCUUUCUGAUCUUUAAGAAAUUUUCCUGACUUUUGUGGACUAUCUGCUUAACUCGCUUUGCUCUAGAGUAGUGUGAUUUAAAUGUUGUUAUAUUCUGUAGCAUUGUAUGUAGCAUCUUAUAGCGUUGGUCUUUGCUUAGUUGUUCUCUCAGCUGAUUAUUCAGGAGUAGUUUCAGUCUCCCUUAAGGUGUGAAUGGUGGGCAGGGCUUGCUUAUUUAAAUUGAAGGUUUGUACAUGGUGGUAGGUGGGCGCUGGAGUUACUAGUCUGCUGUAAGGAAAACUGAUUUUAUCUCUGCUUUAGAUUUCCACUACUCCUUUGAUUUUCUCACGCUAACAGAGACCUGGGUAUCCCCACAGAACAUUGCUACACCAACUGCUCUGUCCUCUGCCUAUGCUUUCUCUUACUCUUCCCUCCUGAAUCUUCUGGACUCAGUCCCCACACACAAAGGAGGCAAUAUCCUGGACAUGGUUUUCACCCGUCCUUCCCCAGCUACAGACAUGACUGCUACACCACAACACAUCUCCGAUCAUCACCUGAUGUGUUGCACAACAAUCAAAGAGAGCUAAGAUCAUCUAAGAGGAAGAAAUAACAACUUGAUGCAGAUCUUGCUUCUCACCGUUCACUCCUGGCCAAGUUCUCCUCAGAUGUGUCUUCUGCCAAGACUUCCUUCUGCAAGGAAAAGCUCAAAGCUUUGUCACAAGACCCUCAGAAGCUCCACAACAUCAUCUCUUCUCUACUCACCCCUGGCUCCACCUGCUUCAUCCUCCCUGACUGCAGAAGACUUUGCUUCUUUCUACCAUGAGAAGAUUGAGAGAAUCUGCAGGACAUUCACUUCUGCCCCGACUGCACUUACAUCUCACAGUAGGAUUCCCCUACUCCUUCGUUGUCGCAUUUCUCAACUGUAGCAGCAGAAGAGAUUUUACAACUCAACCAGUCUUGCCGUCCAGAUUUUACAACUGAUCCACUCCGUUCCACUAUGCUCCAGACCAUCUCGCAAAACCUUCUGCCCUUCAUCACCGCUAUCAUCAAUAGAUCCAUAGCAUCUGGUCACGUACCAACUACCUUCAAGAGAGCAAGGGUUAUUCCCAUCCUAAAGAAACCUGCUCUGGAUCCAUCAGACAUCAGUAUCUACAGACCGGUAUCACUUCUCUCGUUUCUUUCUAAAAUUCUUGAACGCUUUGUCUAUAAUCUCUCACAGACUCUGACAGGCUGAAGUUUGCUCUUGGUUGAAUAAAGAACAAACGUAAUUAACUUGCAUUCAUAACAAUGACAUGACAUUUAGGCUGUGUCCCAAAUCACAGAUUUAUACUUUGCACUAAAAGUAUGCACUUUUUUUUCGAGGCUUUGUGUGCUUUAAGACAAUAUUAAAUGUGCUUUAAGACAAUAUUAAAUAUUACUCUUAGAAUAAAAUGAAAUGGAACUGAAUUAAAACGUCACGUAAAGAAAGAGGCGUUUUUUUUUUGCCUAGUUACUGUAAAUGAACUCCUUUUUGUAUUUCAUUCAUGAUUCCUUUUUAUUUAUUUUAUUUCCCUUUGAGUUCUUUUUUUUCUUCACAUUUACACCUUUAUAAAAAUCUUAAAACUUAGUAAAGCAAACUCAGUUCGGUUUAAUUCUAUUUUACUUGUAUAGCACUUUUACCAAUGGACGGUGCCUCAAAGCAGCUUUACAGAAAUUCUGAAAUUUCUGUAAAAAUUUAUAUUGGUCUUUAAUGAGGAAGUCUGAGGUGACGGCGGUGAUGAAAAACACCCUGAGACGAUAUGAGGAAGAAACUUUGAGGCUCAAAAGGGAAUUUCAUCCUCAUCUGGGUUAAACUAGAGAUUGAGAUUAUAAAUUAUUUUCUUCUACAUCAGUAUAUAGUCAGGUGGACAGAGUGCAUGAGCAUUUCUGAAUUCAUUAUAGAUUUAACAUGAAAUUAUGGAGACUCGAGGAAACUUUAUUUCUAUUAAAUUAAAUCCUAGCUUUUCAUGCAUAUAAAGCAGUGUGUUUAAGAGUUUAUCAAUCUUUGGAGAAGGUGAAAAAAAAGGGUCUCUAUAAACAGGCAAGUAUUAAGGGUUGCCAGAAAAUACGUUUCAUGGGUUUAUAGAAAUUCAUUGUACAAAAAUUUCAUUGUAAUGUUAUAAAUAAAUAAA